UACGGAGGGUGGCAAGCGUUAUCCGGAUUUACUGGGUUAAAGGGUGCGUAGGUGGGCUUGUAAGUCAGUGGUGAAAUCUCCGUGCUUAACAUGGAAACUGCCAUUGAUACUAUGAGUCUUGAAUUUUCUGGAGGUCAGCGGAAUAUGUCAUGUAGCGGUGAAAUGCUUAGAUAUGACAUAGAACACCGAUUGCGAAGGCAGCUGGCUACAGGGAUAUUGACACUGAGGCACGAAAGCGUGGGGAUCAAACAGG
rnacentral:rRNA from 1 species